rnacentral:rRNA from 1 species
UACGUAGGGGGCUAGCGUUGUCCGGAUUUAUUGGGCGUAAAGAGCGUGUAGGCGGCCAGGUAGGUCUGCUGUGAAAACUCGAGGCUCAACCUCGAGAUGUCGGCGGAAACCAUCUGGCUAGAGUCCGGAAGAGGAAAGUGGAAUUCCUGGUGUAGCGGUAAAAUGCGCAGAUAUCAGGAAGAACACCCGUGGCGAAGGCGGCUUUCUGGGACGGUACUGACGCUGAGACGCGAAAGCGUGGGGAGCGAACAGG